CAGAGGUCAGAGGUGAAAGGUUACUCACCUGGAGGGAAGAAAGUUGGGAGAAAGUUUGCAGAACGAUAAUAUUUUCAGGAAGCGGAAAAAAAAGAACAUGAAUAGCGGAGAAAAGUUGCAAAAUUGACCACAAUAAACUGACCACCGUGAGUUUAAUGCAUGCACCUGUCGACGGGAGGAGCAGCGCGAGGACAUGAUGAGGAAGGAGAUGCUAACUCGCUAACAGCACCUGCUUCAUAACGAGGCUACUGACUGAAACAAUGAUACUUCGUAUGAGUGUGGCACUCUGUACCUGGGAUGAUCUGUUGAGUUUUUCUCCAAAGUCUGGCUGUGAGGAGAGGAUGAGAAGCACCCUUGUUCUGCAGUUUCCAGGAAAAGCGGCGAGGUUCUCAAGGGGACAGGGUUCCUCAGCUGCCCGGAUGAAGAAUAAACUCGUUUUUAAACACUCUUAACCUGUCAUUUGUCC